GCGGAUGUGGCGGAAUUGGCAGACGCGCUGGUCUUAGGAACCAGUACCAAUGGUGUGGGGGUUCAAGUCCCUUCAUCCGCACCA
rnacentral:tRNA from 1 species